rnacentral:rRNA from 1 species
UACGUAGGGGGCAAGCGUUGUCCGGAUUUAUUGGGCGUAAAGAGCUCGUAGGCGGUUGGGCAAGUCACGUGUGAAAUCUCCACGCUCAACGUGGAGGCGCCACGUGAGACUGCCCUGACUCGAGUCCGGUAGGGGAGCGUGGAAUUCCCGGUGUAGCGGUGAAAUGCGCAGAGAUCGGGAGGAACACCCGUAGCGAAGGCGGCGCCCUGGGCCGGUACUGACGCUGAGGAGCGAAAGCGUGGGGAGCAAACAGG